rnacentral:rRNA from 1 species
GACAGAGGGUGCAAACGUUGCUCGGAAUCACUGGGCGUAAAGGGCGUGUAGGCGGGAAGGUAAGUCGGAUGUGAAAGCCCAGGGCUCAACCCUGGAAGUGCACUCGAAACUCCCGAGCUGGAGUCCCGGAGAGGAAGGCGGAAUUCUCGGUGUAGAGGUGAAAUUCGUAGAUAUCGAGAGGAACACCUGUGGCGAAGGCGGCCUUCUGGACGGUGACUGACGCUGAGAUGCGAAAGCGUGGGGAGCAAACAGG